rnacentral:rRNA from 1 species
AUCAAUAAGCGGAGGAAAAGAAAAUAACAAUGAUUCCCCUAGUAACGGCGAGUGAAGAGGGAAAAGCUCAAAGUUGGAACCUGGUGGGCAUAGCUCACCCGGAUUGUAAACUAAAGUUUUUGAGUCGUUUAGUCAGCCAGGUAAAUAAGUCCUCUGGAAAGGGGCGACAUAGAGGGUGAAAUCCCCGUCUUUGGCCUGAGUUUUGAUUAGGCGUUUGGCUUGGAAACGAAGAGUCAGGUUGUUUGGGAAUGCAGCCUAAAAUGGGAGGUAAAUCUCUCCUAAAGCUAAAUAUUGACGAAAGACCGAUAGCGAACAAGUACCGUGAGGGAAAGAUGAAAAGCACUUUGAAAAGAGGGUCAAAAAGUACGUGAAAUUGCUGAAAGGGAACCGUAUGAAAUCAGACCUACUGGUAGGUAAUCAAUCUUUCCUUUGGGAAGGAUGCACUUGCCUGCUAUGUAUGCCAGCGACAUUUUGAUUGGGAGGAAAAAAAUAGUGGGAAUGUAGCCUGGGCUUCGGCUUAGGUGUUAUAGACCUCUAUAAAAUACUCUCGGUUAGAAUGAGGAACGCAGCAAACCGUAAGGCGAAGAUUUUAGGCGCUUGGGGGAAAUAAUUAGAGAAUUUCUGCUUCGGGUGGUGCUUUAGUUAUUUUUUUCAACUCGUUUGAAUUUCUUUUAAUUUGCUUAGGUUGUUGGCUUAAUGAUUUUAUAUGAC